CAGUCCAUGUACAGUCCUGUCCCGUCCUGCCCGUUUAGUUAAUGUUCCCUUAUGUAUUGUGUACAUGUUCUGGGUUUAGCUUCCUCUCCUUCUCUGGUUCUGGGUUCUACUAGUUCUGUCUUGGUUUCAUGUUUGGUGUCUUUUCUAGUCUUUUCUUGAUUCUGUACUGGAUACAUACCUGUUGCAGAGCCUCCUUAUUCAGCUCCUGGGAGGUCUGCUUAAAUACCUGCCCCUAGUUCUUGGGAUCCGUUUUAGCUGCAUCAGGGUUCUGGUUGUGGCUGCACAAACUCUGAUGCUCAACACCAGGGGGCGUGCGGUUACCCUGCACCAGAUCCUGCCAAUCCCCCUCCACACUGUGACUCCUACUUUGAACAUCAGGCAUAUUGGGUCCCGGUCCACGCACCGCCGCCCGCACAGUGUCUGGGUCCCGG